CCUACGGUGGGCAGCAGUGGGGAAUAUUGGACAAUGGGCGAAAGCCUGAUCCAGCCAUGCCGCGUGUGUGAAGAAGGCCUUCGGGUUGUAAAGCACUUUCAGUGGGGAAGAAAGCCUUGGGGCGAAUACCCUCGAGGAAGGACAUCACCCACAGAAGAAGCACCGGCUAACUCCGUGCCAGCAGCCGCGGUAAUACGGAGGGUGCGAGCGUUAAUCGGAAUUACUGGGCGUAAAGCGCGCGUAGGCGGUCUGAUAAGCCGGUUGUGAAAGCCCCGGGCUCAACCUGGGAACGGCAUCCGGAACUGUCAGGCUAGAGUGCAGGAGAGGAAGGUAGAAUUCCCGGUGUAGCGGUGAAAUGCGUAGAGAUCGGGAGGAAUACCAGUGGCGAAGGCGGCCUUCUGGACUGACACUGACGCUGAGGUGCGAAAGCGUGGGUAGCAAACAGGAUUAGAUACCCUUGUAGUC
rnacentral:rRNA from 1 species